GAUGAACGCUAGCGGCAGGCUUAAUACAUGCAAGUCGUGGGCCGCCGGGCUUUUGGAAUACCGUUUCUUGCGGCCGGCCAACGGGUUCGGGACCCCUACCCCACCUACCCUGAACCUGGGGGUAACCCGGGGAAACCCGGAUUAAUUCCCCGGUAUAUAAUUGAGUUGCAUUCCUUUAUUAUUAAAGCUCCGGCGGGUCCGGGUGGGCGUGCGGCUGAUUAGGUAGUUGGUUGAGGUAACGGCUCACCAAGCCUACGAUCAGUAACUGGUGUGAGAGCACGACCAGUCACACGGGCACUGAGACACGGGCCCGACUCCUACGGGAGGCAGCAGUAAGGAAUAUUGGGCAAUGGAGGCAACUCUGACCCAGCCAUGCCGCGUGGAGGAUGAAGGCCCUCUGGGUUGUAAACUUCUUUUAUAGGGGACGAAACCUGUGUAUUCUUACGCAGUUGACGGUACCCUAGGAAUAAGCACCGGCUAACUCCGUG
rnacentral:rRNA from 1 species